rnacentral:rRNA from 1 species
CGUGCUUAAUACAUGCAAGUCAACUUGACUUUAGAUAGCAAUAUCGAAAGUAGGGUGGCGCACGGGUGCGUAACGCGUAGGUAAUCUGCCCUGAGGUCUGACAUAACCCGUCGAAAGGCGGGCUAACAUCAGAUGAUAUAUAAUCACGACAUCGUGGAAAUAUCAAAUCUUCGGAGCCUUGGGAUGAGCCUGCGUCUGAUUAGGUAGUUGGCGGAGUAAUAGCCCACCAAGCCUACGAUCAGUAGCUGGUCUGAGAGGAUGAUCAGCCACACUGGAACUGAGACACGGUCCAGACUCCUACGGGAGGCAGCAGUAAGGAAUAUUGCUCAAUGGGGGAAACCCUGAAGCAGCAACGCCGCGUGAAGGAUGAAAUACUUUGUAUGUAAACUUCUGUAAGAUGGGAAAAAUAUUCUCCUCGGGAGAAUUGAUUGUACCAUCAGAGUAAGCCCCGGCUAACUACGUG